GACGAACGCUGGCGGCGUGCUUAACACAUGCAAGUCGAACGGAAAGGCCCUGCUUUUGUUGGGUUCUCGAGUGGCGCACGCGUGAGUAACACGUGAGUAACCUGCCCUUGUCUUUGGGAUAACUUCAGGAAACUCGGGCUCAUACCGGAUAGGAGCUCCUGCUGCAUGGUGGUGGUUGGAAAGUUUCGGCGGUUGGGGAUGGACUCGCGGCUUAUGAGCUUGUUGGGGAGGUAGUGGCUGACGAAGGCUUUGACGGAUAGCCGGCCUGAGAGGGUGGCCGGGCACAUGGCGACUGAGGUAGGGACCAGACUCCAACGUGAGGCAGCGGUGGAGAACAUUGCGCAACGAGCGGAAGCCAGAUGCAGCAACGCCGCGUGCGGGAUGACCUGCUUCUGGUUGAGAACCGCUUUCGCAGGAGAUGAAGCGUGAGUGACGGUAAUGGGUAAGGAAGCACCGGCUAACUACGUG
rnacentral:rRNA from 1 species